CUGCAAUCUUGAAUAUAGUCAUUUUUAGGAUUGUUUCGAACUUGUAUAAACCUUAACACAGUGUUGAAACAAUCAUAAUUAUAUAUCAUAGUGAUUUUUUAAUUUUUUUACAAAACAUGUUUUAAACAAUGUAAAACUAAGUUUUUUUGCUAACUAAACUUAGCUAUUUCAUUCGGUAUUUCUUUGCUAUAGGGAGUGCUUGACACAACCCGUCCCGAAUCACUUUAGUGGACUCGACACGUGUCGUGUGUCGAUGGAAGAUACCAACUGAAUGCCCCACCAUCAAGGCAACCUUGAAUUGCUUGACUAAAAAUUAUUUUUAAUAGAAUUUUGACAGAGUUUCCCCUGAAAUACGAACUAAAAUCACCUGAACAAUUACCAAUUUUCCUCAAGUCAAUACAUAUAAUAUAAAACAAGGUACACUAGCCCCUCAAAAUCCAAACUGUUCAAAUAGAAUACUAGCAAAUCGAUAAUAACUUUACUCUACAACCAAAGGUCCCCAAACGUACUAAAGAUAUCAAAUAAUAAUCUGAUAAAGUAGGCUAUACAACUAUUCAUAUGUGGCUCAAUUAGGUGAAUUGACAGGCUCCAAGACUGUUCAACUCUACUACUAUCUGCUCAGAAAAAGGGUGACAAAACAUGAGCUUGUAAUUCAGUGAGUGGAUGAUUUGCAAAUAAGUAUACUUUUCUCAUUUAUGCAUAUUUUCUGAAAAUUUUUGCUCUAUUGAAACUUUAAGAAAUUUUGAAAUUUGGUAACACUUUUUAUAAUCAAACAUGAAUACAUUAUAAAAUUUUUUGUUCUUCAUUCUAGAUACGUAACUGUAAAAUGUAACGAAUAUAAAUAAUAUGAUAUCCGUGAAAAUCUAUAAAAUAUUGCUGCUGAUCAAUACUAUAAGUUGAAAGCUUUAAUUUGAGAACUUAAUAGACUAAAUUCUAUAAUUCGAAAUCUAAUAAGCAAUAGAAAUACUGAAAAAUCACACCAAAAAGGUACCCAAUGAAUAGCCUGAUUCAUGUACAAAGUAAUCUUGAUGUACAAGGUAGAGCCAUUCAAAUUUGAUAUUCUGAUAAUCUGGUCAUACGUACGUAGAACUGCUCCAAAGGCUAAUCACGCUAAUACACGGCCCAAAGCCUAUGUGUGUAUGAGAGUGGGUCCUAAAGAAAUCUAAUAAUCUAGUCAUACAUUAUGGAAACAUAUUAACAAUAGUGUAAAAUGGGUAAAAUCACCAUAACUAGUCCUGCACUGUGAAAACACACUCACA
rnacentral:lncRNA from 1 species